CAAAAAACUAUACAUUAGAGAAUUGAAGAUUUGCUGCUCACCGACUGAUGUAUAAAAUUUGAAUCGACAUUUCUGUUAUGUUGAAGAAUCACGUGAUCUGGGACUAUCUCGGCCGUGGCGCGGCUGGACGCGAUCAUGUUGGAUUGCUUUCUCGCCGUCGCCGCUGUAAAAGACAAGUACCUAAAAUCAUCCUACUUGCAUGUUUUCCAUUUAUGCAUUUUCGCAUUUGCACGCUAUUAUUAUUAUUAUUAUUCCCCAGAAUCGUUUUGUCACACUUAUACAUAAAAUCAAAGAAAUCUUUGCGAGACUUUUUCGACAAAAGAACAAUUUGUUACACUGUACACUACAUUAUCUAAUGAAAUAGAAAUUAGAAUGAAUACAAAAGUAUGUUAAAUAAAAGGAAGUUUUGGUUUCUUAACCAUAGUCUCAGAGUCUCUGGAAUAUAGCCUCACUACCCAUUCUUACCUGCAAUGUGCCAAAACUUAUACCAUGAGUCUUUCUACCAAUAUUGUGUAAUGUUGUUAUAUCAAAAGUAACACAAGCUUACAUAAGAUCAAAAAACCAUUAGUGAUGACAAGAUGUGUACAGUAAUUGUGUAUGAAGGCUUGAUCUGUGAAUGUAGUAUUGCAUCCAAAAAACAAACUACAAUUGAGCUGU
rnacentral:lncRNA from 1 species